UUAGGAAUCUUCCACAAUGGGCGAAAGCCUGAUGGAGCGACGCCGCGUGAGGGAUGAAGGCCUUAGGGUUGUAAACCUCUAAAAGAGGGACGAUAAUGACGGUACCUCUUGAAUAGCACCGGCUAACUCCGUGCCAGCAGCCGCGGUAAUACGGAGGGUGCAAGCGUUAUCCGGAAUCACUGGGCGUAAAGGGCGCGUAGGCGGUCUGUUAAGUCCGAUGUUAAAUCCCGGGGCUCAACCCCGGAUAAGCGUUGGAUACUGGCAGGCUAGACGGUUGGAGAGGCGAGUGGAAUUACCAGUGUAGCGGUGGAGUGCGUAGAUACUGGUAGGAACACCCAUUGCGAAGGCAGCUCGCUGGACAACACGUGACGCUGAGGCGCGAAAGUGUGGGGAGCAAA
rnacentral:rRNA from 1 species